AAAGACCAUAAGUGGCCAAAAAUAGGGAAAGGCAAGCUAAGAGCCAAAUCAUGAAUGAACUACCAUUCACAACUGCCACAAAAGAAUAGAAUAUCUAGGAAUACAUCUAACAAUGGAAGUGAAGGACCUUUUUGAGAAGAACUACAAACCACUGCUCAGAGAAAUCUGAGAGGACACAAACAAGUGGGAAAGCAUUCCAUGCUCAUGGAUAGGAAGAAUCAAUAUCAUGAAAAUGGCCAUGUUGCUCAAAGCAAUUUAUGGAUUCAAUGCUGUUCCCAUUAAACUACUAUUGAGAUUCUUCAUAGAAUUAGAAAAAACUUUUAAAAUUCAUAUGGGGCUGGGUGCAGUGGCUCAUGCCUGUAAUCCCAACACUUUGGAAGGCCAAGGUGGGAGGAUCACUUGAGUUCAGGGGUUCAAGACCAGCAUGGCCAACAUGGUGAUACCUCAUCUCUACUGAAAAUACAAAAAUUAGCUGGGCAUGAUGGCUGGCAUCUGUAAUCCCAGCUACUCAGGAGGCUGAGACAUGAGAAUCGCUUGAACCCGGGAGGUGGAGGUUGCAGUGAGCCAGGAGCACACCACUGCACUCCAGCCUGGGUGACAGAGUGAGAGUCAGACUCUCAGACUCAAAAAAAAAAAAAAAAAACAAAACACUCACAUGGAACCCAAAAAGAGCCUGAGUAGCCAAGACAAUCCUAAGAAAACAAACAAACAAACAAACCAAAGCUGGAGGCCUCUUCAAAUUAUUCCACAAGACUACAGUAACUAAAAAAGCAUGGUACUGGUACAAGAACAGACACAGAGACCAAUGGAACAGAAUAGGGAACCCACAAAUAAGACUGCACACCUACAAUCAUCUGAUCUUCAGCCAAGUCAACAAUAACAAGCAAUGGAAAAAGGAUUCCCUAUUUAAUAAACCAUGCUGGGAGAACUGGGUAGUCAUAUGGAAAAAAUGGAAACUUCCUUACAUUAUGUGCAAAAAUCAACUCAAGAUGGAUUAAAGAACCCAAAACUAUGAAAACUCCAGACAAAAAUCUAGGCAAUACCAUUCAGGACAUAGGACACCGGGGCCUGUUGUGAGGUGGGG
rnacentral:lncRNA from 1 species